GACGAACGCUGGCGGCGUGCCUAAUACAUGCAAGUCGAACGCUUUUUCUUUCACCGGAGCUUGCUCCACCGAAAGAAAAAGAGUGGCGAACGGGUGAGUAACACGUGGGUAACCUGCCCAUCAGAAGGGGAUAACACUUGGAAACAGGUGCUAAUACCGUAUAACACUAUUUUCCGCAUGGAAGAAGGUUGAAAGGCGCUUUUGCGUCACUGAUGGAUGGACCCGCGGUGCAUUAGCUAGUUGGUGAGGUAACGGCUCACCAAGGCAACGAUGCAUAGCCGACCUGAGAGGGUGAUCGGCCACACUGGGACUGAGACACGGCCCAGACUCCUACGGGAGGCAGCAGUAGGGAAUCUUCGGCAAUGGACGAAAGUCUGACCGAGCAACGCCGCGUGAGUGAAGAAGGUUUUCGGAUCGUAAAACUCUGUUGUUAGAGAAGAACAAGGAUGAGAGUAGAACGUCAUCCCCUGACGGAUCU
rnacentral:rRNA from 1 species